GCUCUGAGCAGGCCGACAGUCAUAGACGAGUAGACCUUAGGCGAGGGAAGGCAUGUACUUUCCCUAAGAAGCGGGAGGAGAGAAAUAAAUAGAGGGCAGUGGGAUGAGAAGAACCUCGCGGGAUGGGAAGCCGCGGAGGGAAGGGCCGUCUUUGGUUACCUGGAGAGCGGGAGCAGCUGCGGAUCCCUUAUGAAGUGCCCGGAUGAAGCUCCAGCGCUCACGCGCUUUCCGCAUUGAGUGCAGCGCCAUCUUGAGAAGGGCGGAGCCGUCUUGUUUGGAAUGACGUCUGUUCAGAGAGCCAAUCCCAGUCUCGCGACUCCUGCUUGCUGGGCGCGGCUUGGGCCUCCAGGCUGCGCAGCGCAGCCGCUAUCGGGCGGACUGCAGUUCUUGCCGAGCAGUCGCAAUGAUUUGUAUGACAGCUGCUAGCCCAAGAGAGAGUUCCAGAAGAGGGCUACCUAACAGGUGCUGUGGCAUUUAGAAGAGGAAUGGAGCCAUUGUCAACGCACAGCUUGCAGGGGAGCAGGAGAGUCAGUCUAAGAAGGAAAUGUGAUGAUGGAAACAGAGGUUGGAAGAUGGAAGAGGACCCAGAGUCAAGGAAUGCAGAUGGAGUCUUGCUCUGCUGCCCAGGCUGGAGUGCAGUGGACUGAUCUUGGCUCACUGCAGCGUCCAUCUUCCGGGUUCAAGCGAUUCUCCUGCUUCAGCCUCUCAAGUAGCUGGGAUUACAGGCGCCCACCACACCCGGCUAAUUUUUUUUUUUUUUAAUACUUUAAGUUUUAGGUUACAUGUGCACAACGUGCAGGUUUGUUACAUAUGUAUACAUGUGCCAUGUUGGUGUGCUGCACCCAUUAACUCGUCAUUUAGCAUUAGGUAUCUCUCCUAAUGCUAUCCCUCCCCCCUCCCCCCACCCCACAACCGUCCCCAGUGUGUGAUGUUCCCCUUCCUGUGUCCAUGUGUUCUCAUUGUUCAAUUCCCACCUAUGAGUGAGAACAUGCGGUGAUUGGUUUUUUCUCCUUGCAAUAGUUUGCUGAGAAUGAUGGUUUCCAGCUUCAUUCAUGUCCCUACAAAGGACAUGAACUCAUCAUUUUUUAUGGCUGCAUGGUAUUCCAUGGUGUAUAUGUGCCACGUUUUCUUAAUCCAGUCUAUCAUUGUUGAAUAUUUGGGUUGUUUCCAAGUCUUUCCUAUUGUGAAUAAUGCCACAAUAAACAUACGUGUGCAUGUGUCUUUAUAGCA
rnacentral:lncRNA from 1 species